AGUGUGUCCCCUAGACGUCAGUGGGAAGGCACCUCUUCUUACCCCGGCAGUGCGAUGAAGCCCCGGUGCUAAGAUGGGUCCACCUUGUUUCAUCAGUUUCCUCGGCAACGUGUGCGGAACGUGGUCGAGAUGUCCGAGCAACACGAGGGUCGAAUACUAUGUGUUUCAUAAGCCACGGUAUUGACAGUAUACGUUAAAACGAGUGAAAUGCCACGUUGUACUGCUACAGCUGUUCAUAGCGUAUGAGAGAAACGUGUUUCGUGUAUUCAUCGCAUCGUCAUGGCGGCUGUAAUUAUUUAGACGAUGUGUGUACGGUAACGUACGACACCACUCCCGAUCACACACAGCGGUACAUCUCUGUUUAGUCGGCCUUGGAAUCAUGCGGUGACUGUACAUGUUAUAGUUGUCGUGUUUAACAGUGGUUGGUGCAAUAGGUAGGGUCAGCGUGGACUCAUGCACGGUUGAUGUUAACAUAACACAUAUCAGAACGCGCUGUACUCUAAACCAUGGGCUACGUUUUCUGAACAAGUCGGAUUAAAUGCACGAUUAAUGCAAGCACGAUCGGGACAGCUGUCGGGAACGAGAUUCGUAUGAAACAAGGAGCACACAGAGCGAUGACAAAUGUACGCCGUUAAUGGGUCAUAAAAGAGAGAAGACGGCGAAGGUCGACCGUUAUCCGAGAGGGCCAGGUGGAGAUCAAAUCAGAGGGAUUGAGGCAAGAGACUGGCGAGAUGCUGCCGAUUAUCGUUGUCUAGCUACCUGGCAAAAAAAGACAAGACAAGACACUUAGCGGAGAAAAAAAGUCAUCUUACAG